CGAGGGAUGGUCAAGAUUAAAUAUGUUAUGGAUGAAUGAUUUAUACUCUGGAUUUAUACAAAAGUUUGAUUGAUGACGAAAAGUGAAAAGAAAAAAAAUACAAAAGUUUGAUUAAAUAUUCCGAAUUCUGUGAGUAAAAAAUAAUAAUUCCGAAUUCUAUAUUUAGUUUGAGAACUAUGUCUUCGAAUAAGGAUUCAGAUUAAGUCCAAUUUUUGAUAGAACUGGAUGGCUUUUUAUUAAAAAAAUCGGCCCAGUUGAUAUAUCCGGUUCGAUUUCAAUGUCUACAGAAGGUGGUUCACAUAUAGUGAAUGAUUUUAUACACGGGAAAUUUAGAAAGUGGGAUACAGAAAUGCUGGAGAACCUCGUUAUUCUAAAAGAUAUUUAUUUCUUCAGAGUUUGGUCAUUAGUUAAUCUAAUAUAGAUGAUAAAUUUUGUUAGAAUUACAUAAAAGUGAAUAAUAUAC
rnacentral:lncRNA from 1 species